AUUGAACGCUGGCGGCAUGCUUUACACAUGCAAGUCGAACGGUAACAGGGUGCUUGCACCGCUGACGAGUGGCGAACGGGUGAGUAAUGCGUCGGAACGCACCGAGUAAUGGGGGAUAACGCAGCGAAAGCUGUGCUAAUACCGCAUACGCUCUGAGGAGGAAAGCGGGGGACCUUCGGGCCUCGCGUUAUUCGAGCGGCCGACGUCUGAUUAGCUAGUAGGUGAGGUAAGAGCUCACCUAGGCGACGAUCAGUAGCGGGUCUGAGAGGAUGAUCCGCCACACUGGGACUGAGACACGGCCCAGACUCCUACGGGAGGCAGCAGUGGGGAAUUUUGGACAAUGGGCGCAAGCCUGAUCCAGCCAUGCCGCGUGCGGGAAGAAGGCCUUCGGGUUGUAAACCGCUUUUGUCAGGGAAGAAACGGUCUGGGUUAAUACCCUGGGCUAAUGACGGUACCUGAAGAAUAAGCACCGGCUAACUACGUGCCAGCCGCCGCCGUAA
rnacentral:rRNA from 1 species